UACGAAGGGGGCUAGCGUUGCUCGGAAUGACUGGGCGUAAAGGGCGCGUAGGCGGCUCAUACAGUCAGGCGUGAAAUUCCUGGGCUCAACCUGGGGACUGCGCUUGAGACGUGUGGGCUUGAGUGGGGAAGAGGGUCGUGGAAUUCCCAGUGUAGAGGUGAAAUUCGUAGAUAUUGGGAAGAACACCGGUGGCGAAGGCGGCGAGCUGGGCAGUAGCUGACACUGAGGCGCGACAGCGUGGGGAGCAAACAGG
rnacentral:rRNA from 1 species